rnacentral:rRNA from 1 species
UACGAAGGGGACUAGCGUUGUUCGGAAUUACUGGGCGUAAAGCGCACGUAGGCGGAUUUGUAAGUCAGGGGUGAAAUCCUGGAGCUCAACUCCAGAACUGCCUUUGAUACUGGCGAUCUUGAGUCCGGAAGAGGUGAGUGGAACUCCUAGUGUAGAGGUGGAAUUCGUAGAUAUUAGGAAGAACACCAGUGGCGAAGGCGGCUCACUGGUCCGGUACUGACGCUGAGGUGCGAAAGCGUGGGGAGCAAACAGG